ensembl:lncRNA
GCCCUACACAUCAUCACACAGACACACAUUAAGACGAGGAGCUUGAUGAAAAAUGAUAUAAAAAGGAAAACAGACUGUCACCAUUCUAACAGUCAGGUGAUAAAAUAUCCUUCUAGUUCAGGGGGGGACAAAGAUCACCAGGAAAUAGUCCCAUCAUUGACCACAACCAAAAGGACAAAUAAAUGUAGAGACUGAACAGUACUGGGAUAGUACUGUUACGACUCCAUGAGCUCUUCCCUCCUUCCUGUACUGUUACGACUCCAUGAGCUCUUCCCUCCUUCCUGUACUGUUACGACUCCAUGAGCUCUUCCCUCCUUCCUGUACUGUUACGACUCCAUGAGCUCUUCCCUCCUUCCUGUACUGUUACGACUCCAUGAGCUCUUCCCUCCUUCCUGUACUGUUACGACUCCAUGAGCUCUUCCUCCUUCCAGAAACGGCUGUAGACCAACGAGGAAGACCCACAUGGAACUGGACUUUUUGGGGGUGAAUCUCCCGUUGACUUCAAAGCUUGACUUGUUAUGCUAAAGUCCAAGAGAGAAAUUAGUCCAGGAAGACUCCCCCAGUCAGUCAGGUAGGAGGAGUCUAUCCAUUACAUCAGUCAAGUAGGAGGAGUCUAUCCAUUACAUCAGUGCAGGAAGACUCCCCCCAGUCAGUCAGGUAGGAGGAGUCUAUCCAUUACAUCAGUCAGGUAGGAGGAGUCUAUCCAUUAAAUCAGUCAGGUAGGAGGAGUCUAUCCAUUACAUCAGUCAUGUAGGAGGAGUCUAUCCAUUACAUCAGUCCAGGAAGACUCCCCCAGUCAGUCAGGUGGGAGGAGUCUAUCCAUUACAUCAGUCAUGUAGGAGGAGUCUAUCCAUUACAUCAGUCCAGGUAGACUCCCCCCAGUCAGUCAGGUAGGAGGAGUCUAUCCAUUACAUCAGUCCAGGAAGACUCCCCCCCAGUCAGUCAGGUAGGAGGAGUCUAUCCAUUACAUCAGUCCAGGAAGACUCCCCCAGUCAGUCAGGUAGGAGGAGGAGUCUAUCCAUUACAUCAGUCAAGGAAGACUCCCCAGUCAGUCAGGUAGGAGGAGUCUAUCCAUUACAUCAGUCCAGGAAGACUCCCCCAGUCAGUCAGGUAGGAGGAGUCUAUCCAUUACAUCAGUCCAGGAAGACUCCCCCCAGUCAGUCAGGUAGGAGGAGUCUAUCCAUUACAUCAGUCCAGGAAGACUCCCCGAGUCAGUCAGGUAGGAGGAGGGCGUAGUGGUGAAACCCCAUCAAAGCCAGUUCAGCACAGCAGCAAUGGAGGACAGUGGUGAGUAUGUAUGAGACAGUAUGGAUGCACAUGUGUGUUCCUUACAAUACGUUCUUGUGUCUCUGUAUACUGUUGAUGGAUAAAGUUCUCCACAUCCUGCUGUGUGUGUGUGUGUGUGUGUGUGUGUGUGUGUACUACAUAUGAAUGGAUGUCUAUGUCCCUGUUAGUCCAUGUCUCAGGCCACAGUCUGUCCUCUGUGGGGGUCUGUUGGGG